rnacentral:lncRNA from 1 species
CCAGGGCCGGGACGUUCAGGGAGAGGGGUGGGGAGGUGGCGAUACAGGACGUGCAAACUCCGUUUUUCUACGAGGAGACAUUUAAAAACGUCUCGCACACGCGAAUGAUCUUUUAGGGGGUGAAGGAGUCUUGGUGUGAAAAGCAGUGCUCCCUCCGAGUGGAGGACCUCCCUGGUGGAAGUCGGGGGAAGGAAGACAAGCCAUCUGGACUUUGCGGAGGUAGCGGAGGUGGGGCGGAUCCAUUCCCCCUUCGGCUGGAGGCCAGGUCUCGUCGGCAGCCGGCCACCCCCCCCCCCCACCUCUGCACAACAAAGCUCUCGGAGGAGAGAGCACCCUAAAUUCCCUUCCCAGUCAGUCGAUCUCGGACCUGGGGAACCUCCCUCCCCCACUGCCGCGGCAGCCUAGCCCGACAUUCGCCCUGCCGGCCGAAGGACGAAUUCCCGGGACCUCUCGCAGUUACCUGCCCCACAACCCCGGCCCGCUCACCGUCUGCCAGGAAUUAAAGAAACGAGGCGCGGCGCGACCCCCACCGUGUGCGGGCGGAGUAACCGUAGCGAGGACAGAGCCGCACACUCCUUUCACGGCUUUCCUCCACAGCCCAGCGAAGAGCCCCCGGAGCCCGCCCGGGGGUCCAAGCCAGGUCUAGGGCCACACAGGUAGCAGGGGACCAGCCGCCAAGCGCCCGGCCCGCCCCCGCCCUCGCCCG